GGGCUUAUAGCUCAGGCGGUUAGAGCGCACGCCUGAUAAGCGUGAGGUCGAUGGUUCGAGUCCAUCUAAGCCCACCA
rnacentral:tRNA from 2 species